rnacentral:rRNA from 1 species
UAACAAGGUCUCCGUUGGUGAACCAGCGGAGGGAUCAUUAUCGAGUUAUUCAACUCCCAAACCCUAUGUGAACUUACCACUUGUUGCUUCGGCGCGCGCUUCGGCGCCGCCGAGGACACUUAAACUCUUUGUUUUUAUAAGCAUUUCUGAGUGGCCGAAAGGCAAAAAUACAAAUGAAUCAAAACUUUCAACAACGGAUCUCUUGGUUCUGGCAUCGAUGAAGAACGCAGCGAAAUGCGAUAAGUAAUGUGAAUUGCAGAAUUCAGUGAAUCAUCGAAUCUUUGAACGCACAUUGCGCCCGCCAGCAUUCUGGCGGGCAUGCCUGUUCGAGCGUCAUUUCAACCCUCGAGCCCGACUCUUUUGAGGACGGCUCGGCGUUGGGGGACGGCAGACUCCCCCCGGCAUCUCGCCGGGGACGCCGCCCCCGAAAUCUAGUGGCGGCCCUCCGAGGCGACCUCUGCGUAGUAACUUGUUCUCGCACCGGAAAGCUCAGAGCGGCCACGCCGUAAAACCCCAACUUUUUUCAGGUUGACCUCGAAUCAGGUAGGACUACCCGCUGAACUUAAGCAUAUCAAUAAGCG